rnacentral:rRNA from 1 species
UACGAACCGUCCAAACGUUAUUCGGAAUUACUGGGCGUAAAGGGCUCGUAGGUGGCCAACUAAGUCAGACGUGAAAUCCCUCGGCUUAACCGGGGAACUGCGUCUGAUACUGGAUGGCUUGAGUUCGGGAGAGGGAUGCGGAAUUCCAGGUGUAGCGGUGAAAUGCGUAGAUAUCUGGAGGAACACCGGUGGCGAAGGCGGCAUCCUGGACCGACACUGACACUGAGGAGCGAAAGCCAGGGGAGCAAACGGG